GUAAAGUAAACUAAAGGUAAGUUAUUAGGCUCAUAACCUAAUUAUGGGAGUUCGAGUCCCCCCUUUACA
rnacentral:tRNA from 1 species